GUUUUAAAAUCAAUGGAGAGCUACAGCUCUUGAUCUCUCUUCUCUUCCGUCAAUUCCGACAACGAAAAGCAGACAGUUCCUGAGAUAUUGAAUUGGACGGGGAUUUCACUUGUUAUAGUGGUUGGAUUAAUCGUGUACUCGUCUUGGGUAUAAUUUUCUUAUUAGAUGGAGAAGAUUUCGACUAGAAGCAAAGUUUCUGUUUGACUUAAUGAGUGAAGCAAAGGAGCUUGAGAUAGAGGAAAGAAAGGCGUCAAUUUGAAAGUUAUAGAGCGUCGUCCAUUAUGCAAGCUACCGAUAACUUCU